GACAAUUUUGUCUUGAGCUGUUGUGUUGGCUGUGUGGGUGUUUGCUGUUGUUUUGUAUUUGAUAGACUGUGUGUCAAUAGUGUCUCUGUUCAUUGUGACUGUGCCAGAAGGGGGUUCAGUUUACAUUUGGUUCAGUGGGUUGAGGUGUAAAUGAAGUUCUCCCUCCAAAGCAACUCUACGGGAAUGACUGCUGGAAG